CGUGGAGACAGGUGGUGCAUGGCUGUCGUCAGCUCGUGUCGUGAGAUGUUGGGUUAAGUCCCGCAACGAGCGCAACCCUUACCCCUUGUUGCCAUCAGGUCAUGCUGGGCACUCUAGGGGAACUGCCCCGGUCAACGGGGAGGAAGGUGGGGACGACGUCAAGUCAUCAUGCCCCUUACGUCCUGGGCUACACACGUGCUACAAUGGCCGGUACAAAGGGAUGCAAAAUCGCGAGGUGGAGCCAAACCCAGAAAGCCGGUCUAAGUUCAGAUUGGAGUCUGCAACUCGACUCCAUGAAGGAGGAAUCGCUAGUAAUCGUGGAUCAGCAUGCCACGGUGAAUACGUUCCCGGGCCUUGUACACACCGCCCGUCACACCACGAAAGUCUGCUGUACUCGAAGUCGCUGAG
rnacentral:rRNA from 1 species